rnacentral:rRNA from 1 species
AGUGAACGCUGGCGGUAGGCCUAACACAUGCAAGUCGAACGGCAGCACAGUAAGAGCUUGCUCUUACGGGUGGCGAGUGGCGGACGGGUGAGGAAUACAUCGGAAUCUACUUUUUCGUGGGGGAUAACGUAGGGAAACUUACGCUAAUACCGCAUACGACCUACGGGUGAAAGCAGGGGAUCUUCGGACCUUGCGCGAUUGAAUGAGCCGAUGUCGGAUUAGCUAGUUGGCGGGGUAAAGGCCCACCAAGGCGACGAUCCGUAGCUGGUCUGAGAGGAUGAUCAGCCACACUGGAACUGAGACACGGUCCAGACCCCUACGGGAGGCAGCAGUGGGGAAUAUUGGACAAUGGGCGCAAGCCUGAUCCAGUCAUACCGCGUGGGUGAAGAAGGCCUUCGGGUUGUAAAGCCCUUUUGUUGGGAAAGAAAAGCAGCAGGUUAAUACCCCGCUGUUCUGACAGUACCCAAAGAAUAAGCACCGGCUAACUUCGUG